rnacentral:lncRNA from 1 species
UUUUCCGUAUCUGUUUCUUGCUGUAGUCCACAGAAUGGCAAGACCUGGCCAGGCUGCUGCUCCCACCACACCUCAUGCUAGGAUCUGAGUGCAUCCAGCCCAGGAGAGGGCUUACACCACUGGCUGCAACACCAGAGGCCUCCUUUCCAACCUGCAAGGAAAAUAAGGACUACUUAUGCUACCAUCCACCCAUUCUGACAUGGCAGUGCAUCUUCACACAGACCUUGGGAUAAAGAGCCAGGAUUGUGCGUGGAUGAUUUUUCCUCAUCCAGGCUAGGAAAAAGUACCAGCUGAGAGCGAUUCCCGUCAUAUAUACUUACAACUGAACAGAUGGAACUCAAAAUGCUCCGCAAACACUGGAGAGCUCAGAUAUAAAGCAUGCCUUUCAGACCAACUUCA